UGUGUCCUGCGCCGGGACCUUGCGCCCAACCCGCCGGUACCUGCCCUCCGCCCCCAACAGGCGAGAAGCAGCCGCGUCCACAUGGCUUCAGGUGUUCACAUGGCAGUAAACGGGCCCCUGCUCUCCUGGGCGCCCCAGCGCGGCGCCCUCCCGCCCACAUCCCGGCCCAGCCCCGCUGGCCUCGCCUCCAGCCCGUAGCCAAGAGGCGAGCGCGGCCGGUGCCCCCGGGGCUGCCAGGGGCCCCGAAGCAGGCGGCGCUGACUCCCGGACGCCGCCCGCUCACACCCGCCGCCUUUGCACCCAAGGCCUCGCGCGACCAGCAGAUGGGGCCACUGAGGUGCAAAGAGUUUAACUUAUCCCAAGUCACACAGUUUGGAAGAGGCUGAGCUGGUAUUUGAACCCAGGUUUUCAGAGGCUGCACUCUUAACCACCAAGCUUCCCAGCACUCAGCAAACACUGGAAAGACAGAGAUGGACCUAGACAGUCAGUAGGACCAAAAGUCUGCAGGCCGAUAGGGAAAGAAUGUAAGAGGACGGCAUGGGCAGCGCCAGCCCCUCCAGCAGUCAUAUAUUAAGCCCUGGACACUGGGCAGCUCGGGCAGGUCGGGGGGCCUCAGACUCUCGGACCCCAUGCCUGGAAGACCACGGUCUGCCCAACAAGCAGCAGCUGCUGUGAAUCGACUUACACAUCUUCCCCACAGGUGAGCAGAGAGCUAACACCUGAGGAUAGGCCAAGAAACGGGAAGCCCGUGCAACCUGAGCGCACAGAUCACCCCCACCUGCCCGGCACUCACUGUCCCCAGUGGCUGGACUCUCAUCGGGCCAGUCACUGAGCUGGCGCCAGCCUGGUCUCACCAGUGUGUGUCUUUAAAUCAUCCAAUUUCUUCAGCUGUAAAUUGGGCUGGGAGGGGCCAGGUGAGCUGCCUGCCUCAGGGGAGUCGGCGCCCUUACCUGAGUGAUCCCAUUCACUCCUCACAACAAACCCAUGAGGCAGGGAUUGUCAUCUUCAUUGUACAGAGCAGGAAAUGGGUGCACACAGAGGUUAAGAGACUUGCCCAGGUCACACAGCUAGGAAGAGGCUGUGAUUUGAACUCAGUCUUCUGGCUCCAAAGCCCCCACAGAGUCACUCAGGGCACUACAAAGAGUUAACCUGAAUAUGAAAUGAUCUAAGAGUCGCAGUGACAAAGGCAUGCUCUAAGCGCUUUUCCUGCAGUAACUUGCUUAAUCCUUACAACAACCCUAUAAAGUGGGUACUGUUCUCGCCUCAUUUUGCAGAUGAGGAAACUGAGGCACAGAGCAGCUCGGAGGGGGCAGAGCUGAAUCUGACAGGCUACAGGGCCCCUGCGUUGCUUUGUUAUAAGAUGACAAUAAGGAAGUUCCUUUCCUUUGGGAUUAUUUCUGCCUGAAAGCUCAAGACUUUUAGCCACAUCAUUGUCUGGGCUCCACGGGAAGGCAGUGCCACAUGCUGAGGCAUGCUGGGAAAAGACUUUGUUCCAUCCUGUUUUGUUGACAUGCUCUUCAUUUUUAAGCCUGAAACCGAAGCUUCCUGCUAAGAAUUCAAACCAUGGAGAAAAACGCAGCCAUGAUAACGGCCACUACUUCCUGAGCCUCCAGUGUUCCCUGUGCUUGGGGAUCCAUAUAUGUCACUUAACCUUAACCUUCACAACACCAGGGCAGCCUCCAUUUUCACAAGUGAAGAAAUGGAGGCCCAGAGUCACUUAGAAGAUGCUCGAAGGUGCACAGCUGCUAAGUGGUGGUGCUGGGAUUUGUCCUCAGGUCCUCAAGAGUCCUGACUCUUAUGUGCUGGCUCCCCACGGAGGCGUGGAGUCUUGUUUGCUGGGCAUUUGACAGAAAUGUUUCUGCUCAUCUUCUGCCACAGGUUGGUCCUUCAGCGUCAAGAUUCCUGGGCCACUUAUUAAUAGAAGGCACCAGGACACAGGUGCAGGGAUGCAGAGCUGGAUGCUGCCUUCUCAAUAGGAGAAGCCAAGAAACGCAGAUGCCGAUGCUUAAUCAACUCCGUCUCUCCCUCUAGUGACUCGGGGAUAGCUGCCCUGAUGCCAAGGCGAUUGUCUUCUGGAAGCAGCCACGCCGUGUGAGGUUCCUCAUCACUGCCCUGCAUCUCCCUGCGAGCUCUCGGGGAUAAUUGCAAAAUCACGUUUGAUUCCAGGGGAGCAGAAAGCAGCAGGAGCCGUGAAUUCUCCAACUCUUAACUGGUCCUCGACUGGAGCCACUUUUCCCUGCCCACCCAUCCCUGUGGCGGAUUCAUUACAGUUAUCCAAAGCCGGUUUUAACUUUGCUCCCCCUGGCUCAGAAGUCUGUCAGUGGGUCCUGAGCGGCUUCACCAUUCAAGUUUAUUCCUAUCAGCCUGGAAUACAAUGCUCUAUCUGGCUCCGCUUGCUUCUCCAAACCUUCUCUCCCAGGUCUCAUUCUGCCUCUCUGUCUAACUAGACAAGUUGGCUUCCUGUCCUGUGCCUGUCUGCUCCCUGCAGCAGGAAUGCCGUUCCCUCUUCCCUACAGAUUGAAAUUAUAUCCUCUUUCAAGUCUUACUCAAAUGCCACCUCCUCCACAAACUCUUAACACUUAUUCAUUCAUUCAACAAACAUUGACUGAGCCCUUAUGACAAGCAUUGAUCCCAAGGGUCCCUGUGGUCAUGAAGUUUAUGGUGCCAUGGAGCUGUUAGAAAAAGAAUCAUCACAUAAAUAAUCAUCUGAUAACAGCCAUGAUACAAAUUAGUAAGAAAGUGUGGCAGGAGCACAGCAGAUGUACAAUAGGGACCCUGAGCCUUGGGGAUCUAGGACAUUUGAGCUGAGGCCUGAAAGACAAGUAGGAAGUAACCACAUGGUGAAGUUGGAGGAGAGCUCCAGGCAGAGGGCACGGCAUGGGCAAAGGCCCUGCGGUAGGAGGGAACAAGUAGAUUUCCAGGAAGGGCACAGGGGCCUGCAGGGUAAUGUAAGUGAAAUGAGAAAGCUGGAGAUGCAGCUGGAGCAGGACAGUACAGGCCACAGAGGCUUUGCGACUUUAUCCCUGGGCAAAAAGAGGAGAUGAUGAAGGAUUCUGAGCACAGGACACAAGCCAGUAUGUAUUUAGACGCGAUCCUGCCCUGUGGCUGAGCCUCUUCUGAGAAGUGCAGGCCCUGUGUCACGUCACCCUGAACCUCAGUCAUCAGGGUUUUGGAUGUGAGUUUCCAUAUCCCUCUUCCUAGGCCAAGCUCUCAAAGGCAAGGCUGACCUCUGGUCUUCAGCUUCAUCCUCAUCAGCCAGGCCAGUGCCCAGCACAAGGAGCUGCUCCAAAAACAUACGUGGGUUGAACCAGUGACCAGGACAAGACGCUUAUCAGCAUUUCCCUGCGAAGGAGCAGGGCUGCCUGUAAAGCCUUCCACAUUCUCUAGAAAUUACAAAGUUCAAGGGUUUUAGUGAGGCCACGACUCAGGGAGCCCUUGAGAGCCAAGCUGGCAUCCCACUGCUGUGCACACCCAGCCUGGGCACACAGUAUGACCCUGCCCAGGCAUCUGCCUGCGGCCGUCUGGUGAAUGACCAGAAACAGAACCGAAAGCUCUGUAAAGUGCUCUCAAGGUUACAAAGCAUGUUUCACAGGAGCAGUUUCAUCUCACACGGGCAGCCCUCUGAGCUGGGUAGUUACUGCUUUACAGAUGAGGAAACUGAGGCCCGGGAGAGGGCGGGACCUCAGCAAAUCAAGAAAAAACUGAGACUAGGACCUAACGGAAGUCCAGGCUAUGAAUGGCCCCCGUAGGGUUAAAAGAGCUUUCUAGAAAUUUCUUUGAAAACUAUUGUAAAGUGACAUAUUUCCUCAGGAUGUCUGUCACGCCAGCAGUGGGAGCCAACACACCAACUCUCAGAGGCUGUUCCCCCUGCGCGGCAGAUCCAGACGCUCAGCUCCCAGGCCUGGAGGCUGGCGGCUUAGCCCAGGGCACAGGAGGAGGCUGCCUGGGUUUGGCGCUGACUUACAGCAGGUGCUGAGGGAAUGCUGAGGAGAGGCAAGGCUGAUUCAAGAGGCCGACAACAGAGAACAUUCCUAGAGCUCUCCCGCCAGCUAGGCAUGGUGCUAAGUGCAUUACCUGCGUCCACUCGUAACAUCCUCACAACACUGUGAAUACGAUGACCAUCCCCAUGUACAGGCGUGGACGCUAAGGCUCAGAGCAAUAAAUAAUUAGCCUGAGAUCACACGGCAGGUGAGUGCAGAGGCCGGAUCUGAACCCACACAUUGCCCUUAAGCAACCCCAUGUCCUGAGCAAAGGUGAGCAGAAACAUCUUGGGAAGAGGGAACCACGACUGUAUCUUCCUCAGCAGACAUGAUGGUGCAGGGUACCCCUUCCCCUGCCCACCUGACGACCAUUAUUCCCAUUAUCAGUAUAUCCCUCUGUGGGCAAAUGAUGACAGACAUGCAUGGUAACCACUUCUUCACAAGUUUUGUGUCUCCCCAGCCUCCUCCCCUAGGGCUCUCUAGGCUUCCUUUACCCGUCCUGCCUCAGAUGGACUCCCAGCAUCAUCAUCUGCCUCUGUGCCUUCUUGGUAGUAGGUGGGUGUGAAAAAGAAAGGAAGGGCCAGGUGCAGUGGCUCAUACCUGUAGUCCCAGCACUUUGGGAGGCUGAGGCGGGCGGAUCACCUGAGGUCAGGAGUUCGAAACCAGCCUGGCCAACAUGGUGAAACCCUAUCUCUGGUGGCAGGUGCCUGUAAUCCCAGCUACUUGGAAGGCUGAGGCUGGAGAAUCACUUGAACCUGGGAGGCAGAGGUUGCAGUGAGCAGAGAUUGCGCCACUGCACUCCAGUCUGGGCAACAGAGCGACUCCCUCUCAAUAAAUAAAAUAAAAUAA
ensembl:lncRNA OGFRP1 opioid growth factor receptor pseudogene 1